rnacentral:rRNA from 1 species
CAUGCAAGUCGAGCGGUAAGGCCUUUCGGGGUACACGAGCGGCGAACGGGUGAGUAACACGUGGGUGAUCUGCCCUGCACUUCGGGAUAAGCCUGGGAAACUGGGUCUAAUACCGGAUAUGACCUCCUAUCGCAUGGUGGGUGGUGGAAAGAUUUAUCGGUGCAGGAUGGGCCCGCGGCCUAUCAGCUUGUUGGUGGGGUAAUGGCCUACCAAGGCGACGACGGGUAGCCGACCUGAGAGGGUGACCGGCCACACUGGGACUGAGACACGGCCCAGACUCCUACGGGAGGCAGCAGUGGGGAAUAUUGCACAAUGGGCGAAAGCCUGAUGCAGCGACGCCGCGUGAGGGAUGACGGCCUUCGGGUUGUAAACCUCUUUCAACAGGGACGAAGCGCAAGUGACGGUACCUGCAGAAGAAGCACCGGCUAACUACGUGCCAGCAGCCGCGGUAAUACGUAGGGUGCAAGCGUUGUCCGGAAUUACUGGGCGUAAAGAGUUCGUAGGCGGUUUGUCGCGUCGUUUGUGAAAACCAGCAGCUCAACUGCUGGCUUGCAGGCGAUACGGGCAGACUUGAGUACUGCAGGAGAGACUGGAAUUCCUGGUGUAGCGGUGAAAUGCGCAGAUAUCAGAGGAACACCGGUGGCGAAGGCGGGUCUCUGGGCAGUAACUGACGCUGAGGAACGAAAGCGUGGGGAGCGAACAUGAUUAGAUACCCUGGUAGUCCAUGCCGUAAACGUUGGGCACUAGGUGUGGGGGACAUUCCACGUUUUCCGCGCCGUAGCUAACGCAUUAAGUGCCCCGCCUG